GACGAACGCUGUCGGCGUGCUUAACACAUGCAAGUCGAACGGAAAGGCCCUGCUUUUGUGGGGUGCUCGAGUGGCGAACGGGUGAGUAACACGUGAGUAACCUGCCCUUGACUUUGGGAUAACUUCAGGAAACUGGGGCUAAUACCGGAUAGGAGCUCCUGCUGCAUGGUGGGGGUUGGAAAGUUUCGGCGGUUGGGGAUGGACUCGCGGCUUAUCAGCUUGUUGGUGGGGUAGUGGCUUACCAAGGCUUUGACGGGUAGCCGGCCUGAGAGGGUGACCGGCCACAUUGGGACUGAGAUACGGCCCAGACUCCUACGGGAGGCAGCAGUGGGGAAUAUUGCACAAUGGGCGGAAGCCUGAUGCAGCAACGCCGCGUGCGGGAUGACGGCCUUCGGGUUGUAAACCGCUUUCGCCUGUGACGAAGCGUGAGUGACGGUAAUGGGUAAAGAAGCACCGGCUAACUACGUGCCAGCAGCCGCGGUGAUACGUAGGGUGCGAGCGUUGUCCGGAUUUAUUGGGCGUAAAGGGCUCGUAGGUGGUUGAUCGCGUCGGAAGUGUAAUCUUGGGGCUUAACCCUGAGCGUGCUUUCGAUACGGGUUGACUUGAGGAAGGUAGGGGAGAAUGGAAUUCCUGGUGGAGCGGUGGAAUGCGCAGAUAUCAGGAGGAACACCAGUGGCGAAGGCGGUUCUCUGGGCCUUUCCUGACGCUGAGGAGCGAAAGCGUGGGGAGCGAACAGGCUUAGAUACCCUGGUAGUCCACGCUGUAAACGGUGGGUACUAGGUGUGGGGUCCAUUCCACGGGUUCCGUGCCGUAGCUAACGCUUUAAGUACCCCGCCUGGGGAGUACGGCCGCAAGGCUAAAACUCAAAGGAAUUGACGGGGCCCCGCACAAGCGGCGGAGCAUGCGGAUUAAUUCGAUGCAACGCGUAGAACCUUACCUGGGUUUGACGUGGAUCGGGAGUGCUCAGAGAUGGGUGUGCCUCUUUUGGGGUCGGUUCACAGGUGGUGCAUGGCUGUCGUCAGCUCGUGUCGUGAGAUGUUGGGUUAAGUCCCGCAACGAGCGCAACCCUUGUUCACUGUUGCCAGCACGUUAUGGUGGGGACUCAGUGGAGACCGCCGGGGUCAACUCGGAGGAAGGUGGGGAUGACGUCAAGUCAUCAUGCCCCUUAUGUCCAGGGCUUCACGCAUGCUACAAUGGCUGGUACAGAGAGUGGCGAGCCUGUGAGGGUGAGCGAAUCUCGGAAAGCCGGUCUCAGUUCGGAUUGGGGUCUGCAACUCGACCUCAUGAAGUCGGAGUCGCUAGUAAUCGCAGAUCAGCAACGCUGCGGUGAAUACGUUCCCGGGGCU
rnacentral:rRNA from 1 species